rnacentral:rRNA from 1 species
GAAUUUUAUAUAAGUUUAUUUAAAGAUUUAAUAUGAAUAUAUAUAUAUAUAUAGAUAUAAAUUUAUAAAAAAGUUAAAUUUAGUUAUAAAUAAAAGUUAUAUUUAAUUGGGAGGAUUUUUAAAAUAAAUAAACUUUAAAAUUAAAGUUAUUACAUAAAUAAGUGGAUUAAUUUAAUAAAAAAGAAUGAUUAAUAGAUUAAUAAAGAAAUAAUUACCUUAGGGAUAACAGCGUAAUAUUUUUGGAUAGAUCAUAUAAAUAAAAAUGAUUGC